GUAAGUAAAUUAAGGGCGCAUGGGGGAUACCUAGGCUCUCAGAGGCGACGAAGGACGCGGUAAGCUGCGAAAAGCUACGGGUAGCGGCACACACGCAUUAAUCCGUAGAUAUCCGAAUGGGGCAACCCAAUCAGGUGAAGCCUGAUUAUCCCUACGGGGAGGCGAACGGGGGGAACUGAAACAUCUAAGUACCCCCAGGAGAAGAAAACAAGAGUGAUUCCGCA
rnacentral:rRNA from 1 species